rnacentral:lncRNA from 1 species
GCCGCGGCCGGGCCGGGCGGCAGGAAGCGGCGCAUUGUUCGCGGCCCGCGGCCCCGGGCAGGGAGUUCCCGGCCCCCGCACGGACAUAAAAGGAGAAAGCAGCGCCCGCGGAGCGGCCGGCCGGCCGGCGGCCCCGCGCUCCGCUGACCCCGGCAUCCGCUCCGGGCCCGCAGCCCGGGAAGGAGGUACGCGCCCCGCCCCUGCGGCCCGCCAGCCCGGGUUCGAAUCCCGGCUCGCCGCCUCCCGAGCCUGCUUUCCCUCCUGGUAAAUGAACACCCGCCGCUGGAAGCCUACCUCCGGCCCCGCCCCCUCCCGCUCGCUGGUCACGCGAAAAACCCAGCCUUGUGCUGCAGUCCCCGGAGAAGAAAAGAUGCAGCCUUGCCGGACCCAGCUUGACCAGAAGACAGUGCCCUUGAAUGAAGAAAAAAGUGACUAUGUUCUUGGCAGACAAAACCCCACAUUUGGCUGUGGGCUGGUCAGGUUUCAGACCCCUUGUGUAGGCCAUAAAUGUCAGGAGUGCCUCCAUGGGUGUGUGAUUGGUCUACUAUCACUGUCUUUCAAUUUUAAGUAAUUUUUGAAAAGAGGCUACACACUUUCAUUUUGCAUUGGACCCCACAAAUGAUGUAGUUAGUCCUGAUUCUAUACCGAGUUCUGGUCAGAUAACAGCAGCCCCCCCGUAUAUGGGGGUCCUGGGGGAGGCAAGCAAAGACCCAAGAAAGAUAAACUAUUUGCUAAUGUGGCUUGGGGACGUCUGGUGGGGCAGAGACUAGUCUGCCAGCUCCCAGCUGCAUGAGGCUGGACAUACUCUACUACGGGGGAAUAGGCGUGGUCCCCACCCGGGGGUGCUCAGGAGCAGGGAGAGAGAUGGGCAUGAGCAUACGUAGAACAUGAGACCUUCAGAGCAAGAGGAAAUGCUGCUAACCUGUUGGAAGGACCCAGCCACAGCAGGUGCGUGCUGGCUGAAAUGCAGGGCAGUGCCCCAGGGGCUUUGGAGGAGCCCUCUCAGAGGAGGUGACAAGGAGCCUGACAUUAGGGAUGAGGAAGGUUUGAAUCAGGAGGGGAGGAGAGGUGCAUUCCCAAGGUCAAGUCCAGCCUGGGCUGGAAGAGUGGAAGGGUGG